AUUGAACGCUGGCGGCAGGCCUAACACAUGCAAGUCGAACGAGUGGCGGACGGGUGAGUAAUGUCUGGGAAACUGCCUGAUGGAGGGGGAUAACUACUGGAAACGGUAGCUAAUACCGCAUACCCUCAGAUGUGCCCAGAUGGGAUUAGCUAGUCGGUGGGGUAACGGCUCACCUAGGCGACGAUCCCUAGCUGGUUUGAGAGGAUGACCAGCCAAACGGGAACUGAGAGACGGGCCAGACACCUACGGGAGGCAGGAGUGGGGAAUAGUGCACAAUGGGAGCAAGCCUGAGGCAGCCAUGCCGCGUGUGUGAAGAAGGCCUUCGGGUUGUAAAGCACUUUCAGCGGGGAGGCGUUACCCGCAGAAGAAGCACCGGCUAACUCCGUGCCAGCAGCCGCGGUAAUAC
rnacentral:rRNA from 1 species